rnacentral:lncRNA from 1 species
CUCCAUGCCUCCCAGCUUGUCUCUUCUGGAGUCAUUCUAGCCACUGGCUUUCGUUUGUACUGACUUUAGUGCCUCCAGGCUUUUAGCAUCCCCAAGGCUUUGACAUCUUUGGGUCUGGCUGGUUUUAGGGUACUCCUCUGGCGAUUCUCUCAUUGCUGCCGGGGUAUGCAUUUUUUUUUUUUUUUUUUGUAACCUAGUCUAAUACCCAGCUUUUUGUUGAUGGAUGCUCUUCCCUCGGCCUCCCUAGUGCUGAAACCUCAGGUGACUUCUUCCUUGUAGCGGUCGCCAGGAUUUACCUGUAGCUGGCAGGACCCCUGUUGUCCUUGUGCUCUGUGACCUGAGAGGCUGAGAAGUUAGCCCACAAGUAUGAACACACCAUCUUUUUGGUUCCACUGCUGCUCUUGGAUCUGAGCUUCUGCUAUUAGAGAAGUGCUUUGUACUUUCUUGAUGUCCUUUCAGAAGCUAAAUCCAAGUCCCUUUUCUGGUGGACACUUCUGAGUGUUAGCUGCCAUAAAGUUAUCCCCAGCUGACCUGACCUUUCCCAGUUUACUGUGUGACCAGAGUCAAGUUGCUGCUUCUCUCUGGGCCAUGGCUGUGUACAAGCUUUGCAGCUUUAGCUUGUGGACACUCACAGGGACUCUUGAUACCCUCCAUGCUCCUGCUAGUCACUUUUCUUCCUCCUCUGUGGGGCGGGACAACGGGAAGCCUGUGUCAGCUCAACUAGGGCGGGGUCAGGCAAAAGCCAACGUCAUGGAUCCUUUGACUUCCAGAUGGUACCAAGAGGGAAUAGCAAUCUUCUCUCCUCUUUUCAGGACAGAGCUGGUACAGAGAUAAAUUUUCAACUCAGGCCCUGCUGGAAAUAAGGCAUUAGCCACCCACAGUCUUGGGCCUGCCUUUGCCUGCCAGGAGGGGACCCAGAACAAGUUCUGAAGCUAAGAAGCAGGGUGAGCAGUGUUGUUUGGUGUGCUUGCUGAUGGAGGGAGGGUUUGUGGGGCUCCUUCUAGAGGGCGUCCCUGCAUGUAAAACACAGCAGGUAAUGCAGCAGAAAGAGUGGAGAUGCACACUGUGUUGGGCAUUAGGCAAGCACCAGCUGUCCCAGGUGAAUUAAGCUACUGAGGA